CUCUCGGCAACGGAUAUCUCGGCUCUUGCAUCGAUGAAGAACGUAGCAAAAUGCGAUACCUGGUGUGAAUUGCAGAAUCCCGCGAACCAUCGAGUUUUUGAACGCAAGUUGCGCCCGAAGCCUUCUGGCGGAGGGCACGUCUGCCUGGGCGUCACACCAAAAGAUACUCCCAACACCCCCCCCCCCCCGCGGGGCGAGGGACGUGGCGUCUGGCCCCCCGCGCCGCAGGGCGAGGUGGGCCGAAGCAGGGGCUGCCGGCGAACCGCGCCGGGCGCAGCACGUGGUGGGCGACAUCAAGUUGUUCUCGGUGCAGCGUCCCGGCGCGCGGCCGGCCAUUCGGCCCUAAGGACCCAUCGAGCGACCGAGCUUGCCCUCGGACCGCGACCCCAGGUCAGUCGGGACUACCCGCUGAGUUUAAGCAUAUAAAUAAGCGGAGGAGAAGAAACUUACGAGGAUUCCCCUAGUAACGGCGAGCGAACCGGGAGCAGCCCAGCUUGAGAAUCGGGCGGCCUCGCCGCCCGAAUUGUAGUCUAGAGAGGCGUCCUCUGCGACGGACCGGGCCCAAGUUCUCUGGAAAGGGACGCCUGGGAGGGUGAGAGCCCCGUCCGGCCCGGACCCUGUCGCACCACGAGGCGCCGUCAACGAGUCGGGUUGUUUGGGAAUGCAGCCCAAAUCGGGCGGUAAACUCCGUCCAAGGCUAAAUACAGGCGAGAGACCGAUAGCGAACAAGUACCGCGAGGGAAAGAUGAAAAGGACUUUGAAAAGAGAGUCAAAGAGUGCUUGAAAUUGCUGGGAGGGAAGCGGAUGGGGGCUGGCGACGCGCACCGGCCGUAUGCGGAACGGCUCCUGCUGGUCCGCCGAUCGGCUCGGGGCAUGGACCGUUGUCGCCCGCGCCGGCGGCCAAAGCCCGGGGGCCCUAGGCGCCCCCGGCAGCCGUCGUCGGCACGGACGGUAUCCGCGCGCCUCUGGCGCGCCCCUCGGGGCGCUGCGCCGCAACGGCCUGCGAGCUCCCCAUCCGACCCGUCUUGAAACACGGACCAAGGAGUCUGACAUGCGUGCGAGUCGACGGGUUCAGAAACCUGAGAUGCGCAAGGAAGCUGACGAGCGGGAGGCCCUCACGAGCCGCACCGCUGGCCGACCCUGAUCUUCUGUGAAGGGUUCGAGUUGGAGCACGCCUGUCGGGACCCGAAAGAUGGUGAACUAUGCCUGAGCGGGGCGAAGCCAGAGGAAACUCUGAUGGAGGCUCGAAGCGAUACUGACAUGCAAAUCGUUCGUCUGACUUGGGUAUAGGGGCGAAAGACUAAUCGAACCAUCUAGUAGCUGGUUCCCUCCGAAGUUUCCCUCAGGAUAGCUGGAGCCCACACGAGUUCUAUUGGGUAAAGCCAAUGAUUAGAGGCAUCGGGGGCGCAACGCCCUCGACCUAUUCUCAAACUUUAAAUAGGUAGGACGGCGCGGCUGCUUCGGUGAGCCGUGCCACGGAAUCGGGAGCUCCAAGUGGGCCAUUUUUGGUAAGCAGAACUGGCGAUGCGGGAUGAACCGGAAGCCGGGUUACGGUGCCAAACUGCGCGCUAACCUAGAACCCACAAAGGGUGUUGGUCGAUUAAGACAGCAGGACGGUGGUCAUGGAAGUCGAAAUCCGCUAAGGAGUGUGUAACAACUCACCUGCCGAAUCAACUAGCCCCGAAAAUGGAUGGCGCUUGUAACACCCUGAAUUUAGGGGUAUAAAAUUUCUUUUCUAAUAUCCACCAAAUUCAGGUGUUACUCUGUAAGUUCUUCGCUUUCCUUCUCUUUUUCCUAAAAAUGGAGAAUUAUUUUGUUAUAUACAUUUAUAUAAAAUUUUUUUUGCGUAGUAAAAUAAAAUCCAAAAAGGGUCCUUGAUUGUUGCAUGGCUUGCCGAGACAUUGUUUUGUAUGUUGUUUUUUUUGUGGUCGUGUACCCAUUCAAACUCAUAAAGUAUAUUUGGAUCUAGGAUUCAAAAGAUAUAUAUAAAUUCGAAUAGAAUAGAUUAAAGGAAAGGGAGAAAUAG
rnacentral:ncRNA from 1 species